UACGUAGGAUGCGAGCGUUGUCCGGAAUUAUUGGGCGUAAAGGGCUCGUAGGCGGUUUGUUACGUCGGGAGUGAAAACUCAGGGCUCAACCCUGAGCGUGCUUUCGAUACGGGCAGACUAGAGGUAUUCAGGGGAGAACGGAAUUCCUGGUGUAGCGGUGGAAUGCGCAGAUAUCGGGAGGAACACCGGUGGCGAAGGCGGUUCUCUGGGCCUGUACUGACGCUGAGGAGCGAAAGCGUGGGGAGCGAACAGG
rnacentral:rRNA from 1 species